rnacentral:rRNA from 1 species
GAUGAACGCUGGCGGCGUGCCUAAUACAUGCAAGUCGAGCGAACGGACGAGAAGCUUGCUUCUCUGAUGUUAGCGGCGGACGGGUGAGUAACACGUGGAUAACCUACCUAUAAGACUGGGAUAACUUCGGGAAACCGGAGCUAAUACCGGAUAAUAUUUUGAACCGCAUGGUUCAAAAGUGAAAGACGGUCUUGCUGUCACUUAUAGAUGGAUCCGAGCUGCAUUAGCUAGUUGGUAAGGUAACGGCUUACCAAGGCAACGAUGCAUAGCCGACCUGAGAGGGUGAUCGGCCACACUGGAACUGAGACACGGUCCAGACUCCUACGGGAGGCAGCAGUAGGGAAUCUUCCGCAAUGGGCGAAAGCCUGACGCAGCAACGCCGCGUGAGUGAUGAAGGUCUUCGGAUCGUAAAACUCUUUUAUUAGGGAAGAACACAAGUGUAAGUAACUGUGCACAUCUUGACGGUACCUAAACAGAAAGCCACGGCUAACUACGUG